CGAUCUAUAUGAAGCUUAUUAUUUAUUAUUUAUUCUUAGAAAAAUUUAUGAACCAGAUCGAUCGAAAUAAUAAUAACAAAUGAUAUUCAUCUGUACAUGUAAAUACGUACUUAUUUAUAAUUUUUCUUCCUAAACGACUGUGUUAACAGUGUCUCACAAGAUCGCGGCGAUGGGAGAAACUAUUAAAAGUUUUCAUAAAACUAAAAUACGGAAUUAACACGAAAUAAAAAUGUCUGAAGAGCACUGAAAGUAUCUUUCCUUGACUACCGUGAGCGUGCUUGAUUGAUCCACAUGGACGUAACGAGAUGACCGGAAUGCUCACAUUGUUUAAACACAUAUGUAAUAUAAGCAAGAACGAGCAUGGAUUCCUAGCAAUGCCACGGGACCAGGAUUAAGCAAAAGUAAAUAUUCAAUUAUAUCUAAAAUUACGUCCAAAUCAUUACGUUUGAUCGUUUAACGACGCGAAUGUAUCUAUAUAAGUGAAUUUACAUUUGUAUUUUCAUCUUCUUUUUCUAUUUAUCUUUAUACUCGUGAAUGUGUGAAUCAGAUUAAUUAACC